GAUGAAGAACGCAGCGAAAUGCGAUAAGUAAUGCGAAUUGCAGAAUUCCAGUGAGUCAUCGAAUCUUUGAACGCACAUUGCGCCCCUUGGUAUUCCAUGGGGCAUGCCUGUUCGAGCGUCAUUUGUACCUUCAAGCUUUGCUUGGUGUUGGGUGUUUGUCUCGCCUUUGCGUGUAGACUCGCCUUAAAAUAAUUGGCAGCCGGCGUAUUGAUUUCGGAGCGCAGUACAUCUCGCGCUUUGCACUCAUAACGACAGCGUCCAAAAGUACAUUUUACACUCUUGACCUCGGAUCAGGUAGGGAUACCCGCUGAACUUAAGCAUAUCAAUAAGCGGAGA
rnacentral:misc_RNA from 1 species